rnacentral:rRNA from 1 species
GUACGCUGGCGGCGUGCCUCAAACAUGCAAGUCGAGCGAGGCUAUGAGUUACCGCAAGGUAAGGCAUAGCCUAGCGGCGAACGGGUGAGUAACACGUGGGUAACCUACCUGGAAGACAGGGAUAACGAUUCGAAAGGGUCGCUAAUACCUGAUAAUAUCCAUCUGCCGGAUGGCGGAGGGAAGAAAGGGGAAACCCGCUUUCAGAUGGGCCCGCGUCCCAUCAGCUAGUUGGUAAGGUAAAGGCUUACCAAGGCGACGACGGGUAGCCGGUCUGAGAGGAUGUACGGCCACACUGGGACUGAGAUACGGCCCAGACUCCUACGGGAGGCAGCAGUUGGGAAUCUUAGGCAAUGGACGAAAGUCUGACCUAGCGACGCCGCGUGAGGGAAGAAGGCCUUCGGGUUGUAAACCUCUGUCAUGGGGGAAGAAGGAAGUGACGGUACCCCAAGAGGAAGCCCCUGCUAACUACGUG